rnacentral:rRNA from 1 species
UGAUUUACAUUUGAGUGAGUGGCGAACUGGUGAGUAACACGUGGGAAACCUGCCCAGAAGCGGGGGAUAACACCUGGAAACAGAUGCUAAUACCGCAUAACAACUUGGACCGCAUGGUCCGAGCUUGAAAGAUGGCUUCGGCUAUCACUUUUGGAUGGUCCCGCGGCGUAUUAGCUAGAUGGUGGGGUAACGGCUCACCAUGGCAAUGAUACGUAGCCGACCUGAGAGGGUAAUCGGCCACAUUGGGACUGAGACACGGCCCAAACUCCUACGGGAGGCAGCAGUAGGGAAUCUUCCACAAUGGACGAAAGUCUGAUGGAGCAACGCCGCGUGAGUGAAGAAGGGUUUCGGCUCGUAAAACUCUGUUGUUAAAGAAGAACAUAUCUGAGAGUAACUGUUCAGGUAUUGACGGUAUUUAACCAGAAAGCCACGGCUAACUACGUGCCAGCAGCCGCGGUAAUACGUAGGUGGCAAGCGUUGUCCGGAUUUAUUGGGCGUAAAGCGAGCGCAGGCGGUUUUUUAAGUCUGAUGUGAAAGCCUUCGGCUCAACCGAAGAAGUGCAUCGGAAACUGGGAAACUUGAGUGCAGAAGAGGACAGUGGAACUCCAUGUGUAGCGGUGAAAUGCGUAGAUAUAUGGAAGAACACCAGUGGCGAAGGCGGCUGUCUGGUCUGUAACUGACGCUGAGGCUCGAAAGUAUGGGUAGCAAACAGGAUUAGAUACCCUGGUAGUCCAUACCGUAAACGAUGAAUGCUAAGUGUUGGAGGGUUUCCGCCCUUCAGUGCUGCAGCUAACGCAUUAAGCAUUCCGCCUGGGGAGUACGGCCGCAAGGCUGAAACUCAAAGGAAUUGACGGGGGCCCGCACAAGCGGUGGAGCAUGUGGUUUAAUUCGAAGCUACGCGAAGAACCUUACCAGGUCUUGACAUACUAUGCAAAUCUAAGAGAUUAGACGUUCCCUUCGGGGACAUGGAUACAGGUGGUGCAUGGUUGUCGUCAGCUCGUGUCGUGAGAUGUUGGGUUAAGUCCCGCAACGAGCGCAACCCUUAUUAUCAGUUGCCAGCAUUAAGUUGGGCACUCUGGUGAGACUGCCGGUGACAAACCGGAGGAAGGUGGGGAUGACGUCAAAUCAUCAUGCCCCUUAUGACCUGGGCUACACACGUGCUACAAUGGAUGGUACAACGAGUUGCGAACUCGCGAGAGUAAGCUAAUCUCUUAAAGCCAUUCUCAGUUCGGAUUGUAGGCUGCAACUCGCCUACAUGAAGUCGGAAUCGCUAGUAAUCGCGGAUCAGCAUGCCGCGGUGAAUACGUUCCCGGGCCUUGUACACACCGCCCGUC